GAUGGAAAUUUUUUUUUAAAAUAGCAACACUAUAUUUUUUUAAAGAUUCGGGUACAACACACACCAAAAGUAAAAUUUAAUUAUUUUACACUUAUUUUAUUAUUUAUAGUGGUUAAAGGUUUAAAUUUCAUUAAAAACAAAUUAGGUAUACAUAAACCCAAAUUUCAACUUAUUCCAACUUUUGUCAAUUUUUUUAUUAGAAUCUAUUCGACUACGUAACAUGUUACUAUCGAAAAAGGCGGACUAAGCAUAUUUAUCUGGGAGGUCCAGGUAUAUAAGUAUGUAUAUUGGCCGCCGAGAACGCCUUUUCAGAUGAGUCUUAACACUAUAAUCUACGAGUACCUUCAUGUUAGAUUAAAUUAUAAAUUAAUUAAAAAGUGUUUGAAUAUUUUCAAACAAAAAUAAAUGUACUUAUAAAAUUAUUGUGUUCAAUCUUUUGAAUAUUAACUGAUUCUGAGUUGGAAAAUACGCAACAUAUCUUAUUACUUUACGCUUUUACAUUUUUUUUUUAUUUUUUUAUUUUCCUCCUUUUCACUUUCAUCUCAACUAUUUGAGGUUGGCCACAAUCUUUCUAAAUUUCCACUCCGACCAAAUUUCCUGCUUCGCAUAUAUUAACUGUCCUCAUAUCGCGUCCAGCCAUCUCUUUUCAGUCUUCUUCUCUACUUAUUUCCUCUUGCGUUUAUUUUAAUUACAAUUCUUACUGCUUUAGAUUCUUCUCUAUUUAUGAAAUGCUUAAACUAUUCCAGUCUACUUUUAGUCUAUUGUCGAAGCUACGUUUAAGUUACCCUUUAUGUACCCUAAUCCUAUCUUCUAACAUAACUCAAACCGUCUAUCUAAGAAUAAUUGUCAUCUCUGCUAAACUAAUUCUCUGUUAUACUUUUCUGUCUACCACCCAACACUCCAAACCAUACUACAUAAUUAGUCUACCAAACUUCUGUAGAACUUGAAUUUAAGUCAUUAGAAUACCCUCAUAUUCAUUAGAAUACCCUUAUCACAUGAAACACUAAAUACCUAACACGUUUCGUCAUAUUACCCAACUACACGUAAUUCUAUGUUUCACAUGACUGUGAAUACUACCGUUCAACCGUUGAACAAAACGCCUAGGUACUUAAAACUUUCAACCUCGCCUGUAACUGAUUAUUUUCAAAAGUGACUUGUCCUACUCUUCUAAACUCGUAAUCUAUUUCAAUUCUCUUUAUCCUUAGUCUCUGUUCUUUAAGUGUUACUCUCCAUUCCUCAAGCAUUCUUCUAUUAACUUAGCCCAGAUUUUCUCCUACCAAAGAUAUAUAAUCUACAACUAUCACGCACCAUGGUUCCUCUUUUAAACUGUUGUCCUCACGCACAUCCAAGAUAGGACAAUCCACCCAAAUCUUGUUUAGAACUCCUCAUUCUGUUUGACAGAAUUUUACUUUGGUUGUCGACCAAAUACAACCCUAUUUGUUGCCUCUUAAAACGGUUAAAGGCACCGGUACCUUUGGAGUAUUCUUACACCCUCCCACAGGGAGAAUGGUGGAAUAUGUUGAUCAGAAUGCAUUGUCCUCCUCUUCAGUAUAUAACUAUUCGGUUAUUCACAGUGGGAGUCCCUGGCUGACGGAGCGCUCCGAUCCUGUGGAGAAAUCGAUUAAAACAGCCAUGCUCUGUCAUUCGUUGUAUAAAAUAAUAGAACACCACAUCACGAGUCCUGUUCACCGGCUUAGUAGUCCCGAGGGAAUCAGCGCCCGGUUCCACUUGCGUUUGCUAUCUGUGGGUGGCACCGUACCCCAAGCCUCAGAGUUCCCUCUGCCACCCACAACUCGAGUCUGCAAUACAUUGCGAAAUGAAGCAUUAAUUUAUUCUUUAGGUGACAAAAUUAAUGACUCAAUUAAAAAACCUGUAAGGUUAAAAAUAUUCUAUUAUUAGUCUGUUUAAAUAAUAUUGGUGAAUGGCAACGGUAUCUAAAGAUAUAAGGAAUUAAUAUAAAUGACAAUUGUUGGAUUCAAUGAAAAUAAAACAUACAAAUCAAUGACAUACAUUUAUCAACAAAGCCAUUGAUAUUUUAAUUAGGUUUCAGUAUAAUAAUUGAACACUGAUAAAAAAAAAAUCACUACCAAUUAAUAUGAUAUUUAAUAUCUAUUUUUUGUUUUUUAAAUAACUACGUGCAAUUUCUACAUUUGAAACAUUGAUAAGCUAUAAUACGCCAUUUCAUGUGAGUUGUGAGUUCAAUAUCACGUGACUACAAAAAUAUUAAAUUAUUAUGCGAAUUUAAACCUAAUUGAAAACCCAUGUAGUAUAAAGUUAUACCAACUAAAUGUUUACACUAUCGCUGCGUUUAUAUAUGAAUUGAUUGUUAAAUGUCGUAUUAAUUUCUAAUUGUAUGUGAGAAUAUAAUUUUAUAACUAAAAAUAAAAUUCGUUUUUAGGUGUUUUUAAAGUUACAUAAUUUUUUUUUGGGGGGGUAUUUCUGACCCUUAAGACUAUCCCGUACAACAAAUUUUCCUCCGUCUUUCUCUGUCUUCUGCUACUUUCCUCCAGUUUGCUGUUGGAAUCUACUGCUACGACAUCUCUUUUCAUGCAAUCUUCCCAUUUAAGGCGAGGUCUGUCUAGUAAUCUUAUUUUUACUAAAUCCUCCUCAAUUACUGAUUUUAUUAUUGUGUCCACUUUUCUCCAGGCGUGGCCAAUUCGCAAUAACCUUCUUUUUGCGGCUUCCCUUGAUAUACACGGUUUUCGGAAUAUAUUUUGAAGUUCCUCAUUUUUUCGUAUUCUCCAUUCUCCUGUUAGUGGGUGUAGAUAUGGGCUAAAGAUUCGUCUUGGAAUUUUUUUUUUCAAAAAUGUUUAAUCUUACUUCCUAUAUUUUCCUUAGUGCCCAUAUUUCUGAGCCAUACAAAACGAUGGGGCGUAUUAUUAUCACAUAUAUUUUGGUUAUAUAAUAGUUAUUGAAAUGAUUGAUGUGUAAAUAUUAUUAACUAGGUACAUGUGUGUAUAAAAUAUGAUUUUACAGAACAUUAUUCACAAUAAGUCAAAUAAAAAUUAUUAUAGACACAUAAUCAUACUGUAUAAUACAGUAGGUAGGUUUCUAAAUAGCAAGGUUUAUCGAUACUUACUAAAAAAUAUUUAAAAACGUAAUAGGUUUGUAUGGAAUCUGUAGGAUAUUGUCAACUGUCCCAUAUUUGUGUUAUCCAAAUUUCAUAUCGAGAAAUAUAGGUAAGUACUUCGUAUUUAAACUAUUGUAAAAUUAUGCAAUAUACAAUAUACAUGUUAUCAUAAUGUACAACUAGAGUUUAAAUUCAUAAAGUUUAAUUUCAGUCAAUAAUAAAUCGAAACUAAUAAAGCUUAUUAAAUUUAAUAUUAUUUAGCAGUGACUUAAACUAAGGUUUUAUAAAUUAUAGAUUACUGGUAGAGGUAUAAGGAGUUUAUUAUCAUGUAUCACAAUAUGUUUCUGUACCCAGGAUUGUAUUUAGGAUAUAGCCCCUAGGCUUGCCUAUGGUGCGGGUCCUGCCAUGGGUGUAGGAAUAUAUUUAAUAUAUUGGCCGGUUGCUUUUUUUUGCAUCCCCUUUCCAUCCAGGGGUGGUUCUAUA